CUACGAGACCUCAGGUCAGGCGGGGCUAC
rnacentral:rRNA from 1 species